AGCUCCAAUAGCGUAUAUUAAAGUUGUUGCAGUUAAAAAGCUCGUAGUUGGAUUUCGGGAUGGGCCAGUUGGUCCGCCGCAAGGUGUGUUACUGACUGGUCUGUUCUUCUUCGCAAAGACUGCGUGUGCUCUUCGUUGAGUGUGCGUAGGAUUUACGACGUUUACUUUGAAAAAAUUAGAGUGUUCAAAGCAGGCUAUCGCUUGAAUACAUGAGCAUGGAAUAAUGGAAUAGGACUUUGGUCCUAUUUUGUUGGUUUCUAGGACCGAAGUAAUGAUUAAGAGGGACAAUUGGGGGCAUCCGUAUUUCGUUGUCAGAGGUGAAAUUCUUGGAUUUACGAAAGACGAACAACUGCGAAAGCAUUUGCCAAGAGUGUUUUCAUUAAUCAAGAACGAAAGUAGG
rnacentral:rRNA from 1 species